AAGCUGCUAAGUAUCCUCAGCUCUACCAGUUUAACCGAUACUAUAGACUCUGGAUGCCCAAGCAGUCCCAGGAACCUGUGGUAUGGAAUCCCUGAAGUCACUGAAUUCUUGAGCCAGUAUUCCUAUAAAAUCCUCACAGUUGACAGAGGUUACAUUUCCAUCAGGAACAGCGUUUUUAUUGAGGAGUUUGAAAACCACAAGGAGGUCAGCCAAGAGCCUCCUGUGGCACCGGAUUCUGUAUUUGCCACUUUGUUGAAGGGAGCCUGGGAGAGAAGAAGCAGUACCUUCCUGGAAGAUGGUGUUCAGACAAAGUGGAGAGACUUGGCUUCCUGGCUCCCCCAACCUGAGCAGCUUUUGCUGGGAGUAAAGCACGUGCUGCUGUACCCGAAAUCCACAGUAGAGAACUUCAGCAGAUAAUACUGUAGUUAUCCUUGGUUUACUUUAUGGCACAAGUUACAAAUGACUUGACUGCUAAAACUUAGGUUCCAGUGCUGUAGCUCUUUUUCCUUGACUCAGCUACGAGGGUACGCAGCACCAUACAAAACUGCACCUAAUUUGUAAACAAAUAUCAGUUGUUCUGAUUAUUGAAGCUGGGCUUUAUUCAGUUGAAUUUCGAGUGUGUGCUGCGCCCAGGUCCUUUGUACCAAUAGGGUACAGGGGGUGGGGGAACCAGAACUGCACAUUCCUUGUGAUAUGUAUGGGAUUUUGGGGGGGG